rnacentral:rRNA from 1 species
UAAGGAAUAUUGGACAAUGGACGCAAGUCUGAUCCAGCCAUGCCGCGUGAAGGAUGAAUGCCCUCUGGGUUGUAAACUUCUUUUAUAGGGGAAGAAAGAUACUUUUUUUAAGGUAGUUGACGGUACCCUAUGAAUAAGCACCGGCUAACUCCGUGCCAGCAGCCGCGGUAAUACGGAGGGUGCAAGCGUUAUCCGGAUUUACUGGGUUUAAAGGGUGCGUAGGCGGGCAUGUAAGUCAGUGGUGAAAUACCGGAGCUUAACUUCGGAACUGCCAUUGAUACUAUAUGUCUUGAAUAUUGUGGAGGUAAGCGGAAUAUGUCAUGUAGCGGUGAAAUGCAUAGAUAUGACAUAGAACACCGAUUGCGGAGGCAGCUUGCUACGCAAAUAUUGACGCUGAGACACGAAAGCGUAGGGAUCAAAC